AGAGCGAACGCUGGCGGCAGGCCUAAUACAUGCAAGUCGAACGGAUCCUUCGGGAUUAGUGGCGGACGGGUGAGUAACACGUGGGAACGUGCCCUUUGGUUCGGAACAACUCAGGGAAACUUGAGCUAAUACCGGAUGUGCCCUUCGGGGGAAAGAUUUAUCGCCAUUGGAGCGGCCCGCGUCUGAUUAGCUAGUUGGUGGGGUAAAGGCCUACCAAGGCUACGAUCAGUAGCUGGUCUGAGAGGAUGAUCAGCCACACUGGGACUGAGACACGGCCCAGACUCCUACGGGAGGCAGCAGUAGGGAAUCUUGCGCAAUGGGCGAAAGCCUGACGCAGCCAUGCCGCGUGAAUGAUGAAGGUCUUAGGAUUGUAAAAUUCUUUCAGUGGGACGAUAAUGACGGUACCCACAGAAGAACGCCCGGCUAACUUCGUGCCAGCAGCCGC
rnacentral:rRNA from 1 species